AGGACUGUGUUCAUGAUCUUGUCCCUGAAGAAAUGUCAAGUUUAGAAAAAUGUGUCACAUGUGGAGGACCCUUUUCACCUCUGAAAUGGUCAGGGGUGAGGUGUAAAGUUUGCUAUGAGUCCUGGCACAAAAAGUGCUAUGUUAAGCACAAGGUGAACAUCACUGAACCUCUUCCAGUAGUUUGUGAAGAACAAAGUUCAAGUGAGGUUGCAUCAUCAGAAGAGGAAUAUGUGCCUGAUUCCACAGCGGAUUCGAACAGCUCAUGGGACAGCAUAGCAGAGCCUUUAAAAAUCAGUCGCAGUCAACAUUUAGAAUUACAGAAUUUUGAGGGGUGCGCCAGCAAUUCUAUUUCCAAAAAAAACACCACCAAGAAACUUUUGUAGAGGCAGAGAGAGAGUCUGUUUCUGAAGCUGCAGAAUCAAGUCAGCUUGAAGUAUCGGGAGAUACUGCCAAAGUAGGAAAUGCUGAAGGCAUAAUU